rnacentral:rRNA from 1 species
GACGAACGCUGGCGGCGUGCUUAACACAUGCAAGUCGAACGGAAAGGCCCUGCUUUUGUGGGGUGCUCGAGUGGCGAACGGGUGAGUAACCCGUGAGUAACCUGCCCUUGACUUUGGGAUAACUUCAUGCAACUGGGGCUCAUACCGGAUAGGAGCUCCUGCUGCUUGGUGGGGGUUGGAAAGUUUCGGUGGUUGGGGAUGGACUAGCGGCUUAUCAGCUUGUUGGUGGGGUAGUGGCUUAGCAAGGCCUUGACGGGUAGCAGGCCUGGUCGGAUGACCGGCCAAGUUGGAACUGAGCUACGGCCCGGACUCCUACGGGAGGCAGCAGUGGAGAAUAUUGCACAAUGGGCGGAGGCCUGAUGCAGCAACGCCGCGUGCGGGAUGUCGGCCUUCGGGUUGUAAACCGCAUUCGCCUGUGACGAAGCGUGAGUGACGGUACUGGGUAAAGAAGCACCGGCUAACUACGUG